rnacentral:rRNA from 1 species
CCAAUAGCGUAUAUUAAAGUUGUUGCAGUUAAAAAGCUCGUAGUUGAAUUUCGGGACUAAUAUGUCGGUCGUGCCUCGGUACGUACUGGUUUAUUGGUUUCUCCUUUCUGAAGAACCAUGAUGUCAUUUAUUUGGUGUCGUGGGGAAUCAGGACUGUUACUUUGAAAAAAUUAGAGUGUUUAAAGCAGGCUCACGCUUGAAUACAUUAGCAUGGAAUAAUGAAAUAGGACGUUUGAUUCUAUUUUGUUGGUUUCUAGGAUCGACGUAAUGAUUAAUAGGGA